rnacentral:rRNA from 1 species
UACGUAGGGGGCCAGCGUUGCUCGGAAUUACUGGGCGUAAAGGGUCCGUAGGCGGUGUGGCAAGUCGGGAGUGAAAUCUCUGGGCUUAACUCAGAGGCUGCUUCCGAAACUGCCGUGCUAGAGUGUGAGAGAGGCGAGUGGAAUUGCGGGUGUAGCGGUGAAAUGCGUAGAUAUCCGCAGGAACAUCCGAGGCGAAAGCGGCUCGCUGGAUCACAACUGACGCUGAGGGACGAAAGCGUGGGUAGCAAACAGG